rnacentral:rRNA from 1 species
UACGUAGGGGGCGAGCGUUGUCCGGAAUCAUUGGGCGUAAAGCGCGUGUAGGCGGCUCGAUAAGUCCGGUGUGAAACCUUGGGGCUCAACCCCAAGCCUGCACUGGAUACUGUCGAGCCUCGAGUCCGGGAGGGGAGAGCGGAAUUCCUAGUGUAGCGGUGAAAUGCGCAGAUAUUAGGAAGAACACCGGUGGCGAAGGCGGCUCUCUGGAACGGUACUGACGGCUGAGACGCGAAAAGCGUGGGGAGCGAACAG